ACACGACUACAUUAGACUACCCCGUAGUCCCAGCCCUAAACGAUGCGCGUUAGGUGUAUCGGUGACCACGAGUCACCGAGGUGCCGAAGGGAAACCGUGAAACGUGCCGCCUGGGAAGUACGGUCGCAAGGCUGAAACUUAAAGGAAUUGGCGGGGAGCACCACAAGAGGUGGAGGCUGCGGUUCAAUUGGACUCAACGCCGGAAAACUCAUCGGGAGCGACAGCAGUAUGAUUGCCAGGUUGAUGACCUUGCUUGACAAGCUG
rnacentral:rRNA from 1 species